UACGAAGGGGGCUAGCGUUGUUCGGAAUUACUGGGCGUAAAGCGUGCGGAGGCGGCUUUGUAAGCCGGGGGUGAAAGCCCGGAGCUUAACUCCGGAAUUGCCUUUGGGACUGGAAUGCUUGAGAACGGGAGAGGUGAGUGGAAUUCCCGGUGUAGAGGUGAAAUGCGUAGAUAUUGGGAAGAACACCGGUGGCGAAGGCGGCUCUCUGGCCCGUUUCUGACGCUCAGGUGCGAAAGCGUGGGGAGCAAACAGG
rnacentral:rRNA from 1 species